ensembl:ncRNA asRNA:CR43637 antisense RNA:CR43637
GAAUUUUAAGUCAGCUCAAAUAAAUCGAACGUCAUUCUACUUUUUAACCGGUGUCAGACUUCGCGUUCUAUAUAACAAAAUUUUGGAUAAAUUUUGGACAGGACUAUGGACUCAGUUAUCGUGGAUGAAGGUGUUCGACCGGAGGGGGAAGAUGUUGUUUUGGACCCUCUGCUACAUGUUUAUAGUGCUAGUGUCAAUAUAUCCGUCUGCAUGGAGUAUCGACGCCGUAUCAAGUGGAACCUAAACCUAGAUGGGGUGUCCCUGUUUUCGAAUGAUGAGGCUUUUUUCGGUGGUAGUUAUGCCCUUCAUCGCCUUGAUGUUCUACCAGAACCAGAACCGCACCAUUGGAUGCCUCGUCUUCGACUACUCCUGGCCGACUGGAUGAAGGGAAUCUUCGAAGGGCUGCGGGCCUAUUUAAUGGGGGGGAAAGUAGCGCUCGCUCUUCCUUCAGAGACCCAAGCACCAGGAUGCCAAGGGGGCACGCCGUUUCAAUGAUUUAUCUAAGUACUUCUGAUUCUCGCCCUUUUUUACAUUUUAUAUACUUUAUACGCGCCGCCCGGACUAAGGGUUAAGCAAGUUAGUCCUCCUUCGGCACACACACAAGAUCAUAUUCGAGGAGAGGAGGGACACACUUAUACUAGUGCAAUGACAACCUGCAGCACCAGCACACCUACUCACCUGACUCUGGGACACGUUGUUGCUCUGGCGAAGGGAUCCGUACCGCUUUAUAACGCCGGAGCCGGACAUGGAACGGCUCAGAUCGUUCCUGGAGCUCACAUAGUCGGGUAGGUUGUGGAGGGAGCCCUGCGCACGAAGACAGAAUAGCAUUAGAUACUCCAUUACACGAACAUCUCAAUUCGGCUAGCCCACCUGGUAGAGAGCAUCCGGUCGGUACAUGGUACCACUGGCACUCCGCUCGCGAUGCGCAUCCCUGAGAGGAGUCAGCUGCAACUGGCUGUGGCAUUUGCGGGCGAUGUCAUCGUUGCUGGUGCUCUUCACCACCGCCUGCGGUGGGGUCACCAAGGUGGGUCCCUGUCCAUUGACGGCGCCGUUCGAGUUGUUGUUCUGUAGCAUGUUAGUUAAAGUAAAAUCAAUAAAGGGGUCGAAUACGCAACUU